rnacentral:rRNA from 5 species
UAGCGCGGUGGUCCCACCUGACCCCAUGCCGAACUCAGAAGUGAAACGCCGUAGCGCCGAUGGUAGUGUGGGGUCUCCCCAUGCGAGAGUAGGG